UCCACUACUCAGUUGGUAGAGUAUAAAGCUCUUAACAUUGUGAACGUGGGUUCAAGCCCCAUGGUGGAG
rnacentral:tRNA from 1 species